CUAUUAUGGUCGAUUUUAUAAAUGAUAUGGCUGUAUAAAUGAUAAUAUAACUAACAUUUUAUCCAGUUUUUAUUGAUUUGACGUCUUUUCCACUUUUGACAGCGAUAGAUGUUAAAUGAUUUACUGCAUAACAUGGUCGGUGGAUAAUUUGUCAUUUGUCUAAAUUUCUGACUUAAACUUAGUUGAUAAGUGGAUAAGUUAAAUGAUAUAAAUGACACUUGUCUAGAUUUAUAUCGUUUUAUAGCAUUUAUACCGUUUUGUCUACUUUUGACAGCGAUAGACGGUAAAUGGCAACGUUUGUUGAAUAAUUAAAUAUAUAGUCGAGUUUUGACGGCUAGACUUUGAUUAUUUUAUCCUAGUGCUCACUGGGUCACGAUAAGUGCUCUUGUGCUAUAUAAAUGGUGCAAAAUACAAAUUUUUGGAGUUAAAUAUCAGUAAGUAUCUGUGUUUUUCAUUAUAUAUACAGUCAAACUCAUUUAUUUACAUAUAACAUUAUCAAUACAUUUUUCAGGGAUGGCAAGAUAUCAUUUCUUCUUGGCAGCUGCUGCUAUCGAAGAAAAACAAGACAGAAAACUUCAACGCCGGGCCAUAAGGGAUGCAUGCAACCCGUUUGAUAAGCCCGACGAGGAGUUAUGGCGCAUACAUAGGGUGCGGAAAGAAUUAGCACUCUAUGUGUGCUGAACUUGACGCCGACCUCAAGCCUCAACAUGGCGAUGGAUUGCCGGCACAUCUUAAAGUUUUAACAUCACUGCACCUAUUGGCUGACGGUAGUUACUAACGGGGAACUGGACAAGACCAUGGCUUGUCCAUUGCUCAGUCUACCGUCAGCCGGUACUUGGAUCAAUUUGUAAUUGUGGUGAAUAGAAGACUCAAGGACACUUGGAUAGUCUUCCCAGAAAAUUAGAGGUGUUCAGGAGGCAUAUGGGGUUGCUAACAUUUUAGGCACAGUAGACUGCACCCAAGUAAAAAUAUUUCCAUAACCUUUACCGCAUGGCGUACAGUUUCUAAACAGAAAAGGAAUUCAUUCGCUAAACGUUCAGUUGAAAUCUUCCAAUAAAAGGCGAACCUGAAGCGGAAAUGGAAGGGGGCGCUGCUCGAGGGAUGCAUUACAUGCAGAGAAGCGUGCCCUAUUAAUAAAUAAAUAUUUCGCCUAGUAUUAUUUUA